UGUUAAAAAUUUCAUUCAUUUAUUCUGUUAAAAACUGACGUGGCUGACAGAAUAACAAAAAAGUGUGUACCUUAUACUGGUGUACAAGAACUGGUUUUUAACAGUAGAAUUGAAUGAAAUUUUUUACA
rfam:Gossypium arboreum cultivar AKA8401 contig_46315_3, whole genome shotgun sequence.